rnacentral:rRNA from 1 species
GAUGAACGCUAGCGGGAGGCUUAAUACAUGCAAGUCGAACGGUAACAGACUAAUUUCGGUUGGUGCUGACGAGUGGCGCACGGGUGAGUAACGCGUACACAAUCUACCUUUAAGAGGGGGAUAGCCUUGGGAAACUGAGAAUAAUACCCCAUAAUAUUAUGAAUUGGCAUCGAUUUAUAAUUAAAGCUCCGGUGCUUAAAGAUGAGUGUGCGUCCUAUUAGCUAGUUGGUAAGGUAACGGCUUACCAAGGCGACGAUAGGUAGGGGGCGUGAGAGCGUGGACCCCCACACGGGUACUGAGACACGGACCCGACUCCUACGGGAGGCAGCAGUAAGGAAUAUUGGACAAUGGGCGCAAGCCUGAUCCAGCCAUCCCGCGUGCAGGAUGACGGCCCUAUGGGUUGUAAACUGCUUUUAUUUGGGAAGAAUCCCUUUCUUUUAAGAGAGGUUGACGGUACCAAAAGAAUAAGCACCGGCUAACUCCG